rnacentral:rRNA from 1 species
ACUCCUACGGGAGGCAGCAGUGGGGAAUAUUGCACAAUGGGCGCAAGCCUGAUGCAGCAACGCCGUGUGAGUGAAGAAGGUUUUCGGAUCGUAAAACUCUGUCCUAAGGGAAGAAACAAAUGACGGUACCUUAGGAGGAAGCCCCGGCUAACUACGUGCCAGCAGCCGCGGUAAUACGUAGGGGGCAAGCGUUAUCCGGAAUCACUGGGGCGUAAAGGGGUGCGUAGGCGGCUUAGCAAGCCAGGGGUGAAAGGCAUUGGCUCAACCAAUGUAAGCCUUUGGAACUGUUAAGCUUGAGUGCAGGAGAGGUAAGUGGAAUUCCUAGUGUAGAGGUGAAAUUCGUAGAUAUUAGGAGGAACACCAGUGGCGAAGGCGACUUACUGGACUGUAACUGACGCUGAUGCACGAAAGCGUGGGUAGCGAACAGGAUUAGAUACCCUUGUAGCACAGAG